rnacentral:rRNA from 1 species
CCUACGGGUGGCUGCAGUGGGGAAUAUUGGGCAAUGGGCGCAAGCCUGACCCAGCAACGCCGCGUGAAGGAAGAAGGCUUUCGGGUUGUAAACUUCUUUUGACAGGGAAGAGCAGAAGACGGUACCUGUCGAAUAAGCCACGGCUAACUACGUGCCAGCAGCCGCGGUAAUACGUAGGUGGCAAGCGUUGUCCGGAUUUACUGGGUGUAAAGGGCGUGUAGCCGGGCUGACAAGUCAGAUGUGAAAUCCGGGGGCUCAACCCCCGAACUGCAUUUGAAACUGUUGGUCUUGAGUAUCGGAGAGGCAGGCGGAAUUCCUAGUGUAGCGGUGAAAUGCGUAGAUAUUAGGAGGAACACCAGUGGCGAAGGCGGCCUGCUGGACUGCAACUGACACUGAUGCUCGAAAGUGUGGGUAUCAAACAGGAUUAGAUACCCGUGUAGUC